AUUGAACGCUGGCGGCAGGCCUAACACAUGCAAGUCGAACGAGUGGCGGACGGGUGAGUAAUGUAUGGGGACUGCCCGAUAGAGGGGGAUAACUACUGGAAACGGUGGCUAAUACCGCAUACUAUCGGAUAACCCAUAUGGGAUUAGCUAGUAGGUGGGGUAAAGGCUCACCUAGGCGACGAUCCCUAGCUGGGCUGAGAGGAUGAUCAGCCAUAUGGGGACUAAGACACGGCCCAGACUCCUACGGAGGCAGCAGUGGGGAAUAUUGCGCAAUGGGGGCAACCCUGACGCAGCCAUGCCGCGGGAAUGAGGAAGGCCUUCGGGUUGUAAAGUUCUUUCGGUAGCGAGGCGUUAAUUACAGAAGAAGCACCGGCUAACUCCGUGCCAGCAGCCGCGGUAAUAC
rnacentral:rRNA from 1 species